GACGAACGCUGGCGGCGUGCUUAACACAUGCAAGUCGAACGGAAAGGCCCUGCUUUUGUGGGUUGCUCGAGUGGCGAACGGGUGAGUAACACGUGAGUAACCUGCCCUUGACUUUGGGAUAACUUCAGGAAACUGGGGCUAAUACCGGAUAGGAGCUCCUGCUGCAUGGUGGGGGUUGGAAAGUUUCGGCGGUUGGGGAUGGACUCGCGGCUUAUCAGCUUGUUGGUGGGGUAGUGGCUUACCAAGGCUUUGACGGGUAGCCGGCCUGAGAGGGUGACCGGCCACAUUGGGACUGAGAUAAGGCACAGACUCCUAAGGGAGGCAGCAGUGGGGAAUAUUGCACAAUGGGCGGAAGCCUGAUGCAGCAACGCCGCGUGCGGGAUGACGGCCUUCGGGUUGUAAACCGCUUUCGCAUGUGACGAAGCGUGAGUGACGGUAAUGGGUAAAGAAGCACCGGCUAACUACGUG
rnacentral:rRNA from 1 species